rnacentral:rRNA from 1 species
AGUGAACGCUGGCGGUAGGCCUAACACAUGCAAGUCGAACGGCAGCACAGUAAGGGCUUGCUCUUACGGGUGGCGAGUGGCGGACGGGUGAGGAAUACAUCGGAAUCUACUUUUUCGUGGGGGAUAACGUAGGGAAACUUACGCUAAUACCGCAUACGACCUACGGGUGAAAGCAGGGGAUCUUCGGACCUUGCGCGAUUGAAUGAGCCGAUGUCGGAUUAGCUAGUUGGCGGGGUAAAGGCCCACCAAGGCGACGAUCCGUAGCUGGUCUGAGAGGAUGAUCGGCCACACUGGAACUGAGACACGGUCCAGACUCCUACGGGAGGCAGCAGUGGGGAAUAUUGGACAAUGGGCGCAAGCCUGAUCCAGCCACACCGCGUGGGUGAAGAAGGCCUUCGGGUUGUAAAGCCCUUUUGUUGGGAAAGAAAAGCAGCAGGUUAAUACCCCGCUGUUCUGACGGUACCCAAAGAAUAAGCACCGGCUAACUUCGUG